rnacentral:tRNA from 1 species
GGGAUUGUGGCUCAGCGGUAGAGCGCUUGCCUAGUGCUUGAGGCCCUGGGUUCAAUCCUCAGCAUCACA